UGGGGAAUAUUGCACAAUGGGCGAAAGCCUGAUGCAGCGACGCCGCGUGAGGGAUGACGGCCUUCGGGUUGUAAACCUCUUUCAGUAGGGAAGAAGCGAAAGUGACGGUACCUGCAGAAGAAGCGCCGGCUAACUACGUGCCAGCAGCCGCGGUAAUACGUAGGGCGCACGCGUUAUCCGGAAUUAUUGGGCGUAAAGAGCUCGUAGGCGGGUUGUCGCGUCUGCCGUGAAAGUCCGGGGCUCAACUCCGGAUCUGCGGUGGGUACGGGCAGACUAGAGUGAUGUAGGGGAGACUGGAAUUCCUGGUGUAGCGGUGAAAUGCGCAGAUAUCAGGAGGAACGCCGAUGGAGAAGGCAGGUCUCUGGGCAUUAACUGACGCUGAGGAGCGAAAGCAUGGGGAGCGAACAGG
rnacentral:rRNA from 1 species